GACAGAGGGUGCAAACGUUGUUCGGAAUUACUGGGCGUAAAGGGCGCGUAGGCGGCCUGCUAAGUCGAACGUGAAAUCCCCGGGCUCAACCCGGGAACUGCGUCCGAUACUGGCAGGCUUGAAUCCGGGAGAGGGAUGCGGAAUUCCAGGUGUAGCGGUGAAAUGCGUAGAUAUCUGGAGGAACACCGGUGGCGAAGGCGGCAUCCUGGACCGGCAUUGACGCUGAGGCGCGAAAGCCAGGGGAGCAAACGGG
rnacentral:rRNA from 1 species